CAUCUAGAAUGUUCUAGAUUGUUCCUUUUCUAUGAAUUACUUAGACGAAGACGCAAUAUUUUUGAAGCUAGCAUGUUGUGCGAAAUACGUUAUACAUCCAAAGAGAAAGAGAAAGAGGUACACUAACACAAAAGUAUGAAUCCUUCAAGCACGGAGUGUGAGGGAAGUAGCAAUAGACAUUAUACGAGUGAAAUAGAUGAUAACUUUUCGGAAUUGACGAAAACAACUAUUUCAAAAAUCAAACGGCGUUAUAGAACUAAUCGAUCCGAUAAUGAAGACGUGAAGAGUAAGUUUUAUGACACCACCUCGCCUUCUUAUGGCUGGCUUCUUCCAGGUUGGGUAGGUGAAGAACGUCUUAUGAUCAAAACUCGCCGUGUCUACAAGUAUUACUAUGAUCCUCAAGGCCAACAAUAUAAAAGUCGAAGUGAAGUUACAGCUAUAUUAGAAAAAGCUGGAAUGAUUCUCAUUGACUGAACAUAAGUUAUAAAGAGUCUAUGUUUUGCCCAACUUAUCUUCAAAAUUCACUCAUUUUGGAUAAGAAUCACGAAAUUUUCGCUUCAAAUUUAAGUUACGUUGAAGAUAUUUUUUCGUAAGUUUGUUGUACAUGUAGACAUUUUGUUACAUGUAACUAAUAUGUUUCAUUACAUUUGUUUUGAUUUUAUGCAAUGGAUGUGUUAAGAUUGUUUGUUAUGGAAAUAUUUAAUGGUUUAAUAUUUGAACAUUUGAAUUUCGUGAAAUAAAAGUUGUAU